rnacentral:rRNA from 1 species
ACGCUGGCGGCAGGCCUAACACAUGCAAGUCGAGCGGUAGAGAGAAGCUUGCUUCUCUUGAGAGCGGCGGACGGGUGAGUAAUACCUAGGAAUCUGCCUGGUAGUGGGGGAUAACGUCCGGAAACGGACGCUAAUACCGCAUACGUCCUACGGGAGAAAGCAGGGGACCUUCGGGCCUUGCGCUAUCAGAUGAGCCUAGGUCGGAUUAGCUAGUUGGUGGGGUAAUGGCUCACCAAGGCGACGAUCCGUAACUGGUCUGAGAGGAUGAUCAGUCACACUGGAACUGAGACACGGUCCAGACUCCUACGGGAGGCAGCAGUGGGGAAUAUUGGACAAUGGCCGAAAGCCUGAUCCAGCCAUGCCGCGUGUGUGAAGAAGGUCUUCGGAUUGUAAAGCACUUUAAGUUGGGAGGAAGGGCAGUAAAUUAAUACUUUGCUGUUUUGACGUUACCGACAGAAUAAGCACCGGCUAACUCUGUGCCAGCAGCCGCGGUAAUACAGAGGGUGCAAGCGUUAAUCGGAAUUACUGGGCGUAAAGCGCGCGUAGGUGGUUCGUUAAGUUGGAUGUGAAAUCCCCGGGCUCAACCUGGGAACUGCAUUCAAAACUGACGAGCUAGAGUAUGGUAGAGGGUGGUGGAAUUUCCUGUGUAGCGGUGAAAUGCGUAGAUAUAGGAAGGAACACCAGUGGCGAAGGCGACCACCUGGACUGAUACUGACACUGAGGUGCGAAAGCGUGGGGAGCAAAC